GCGCCAGUAGCUCAGUUGGAUAGAGCAUCGGCCUUCUAAGCCGAGGGUCGGGGGUUCGAUCCCUCCCUGGCGCGCCA
rnacentral:tRNA from 1 species